rnacentral:rRNA from 1 species
GACGAACGCUGGCGGCGUGCUUAACACAUGCAAGUCGAGCGGAGCGGCGAACGGGUGAGUAAGGCGUGAAUAACUGCCCCCCUCUCUGGGAUAACAGUUGGAAACGGCUGCUAAUACCGGAUAGUGGGGGAUGACUCGCGUCCUAUCAGCUUGUUGGUUGGGUAGUGGCCUACCAAGGCGACGAGGGGUAGCCGGCCUGAGAGGGCGACCGGCCACAAUGUGGGCAGAUACAGCCCAAACUGCUACGGGAGGCAGCAGUGGAGGAUAUUGCACAAUGGGUGAAACCCUGAUGCAGGAACGCCGCGUUCGGGAUGACGGCCUUCGGGUUGUAAACCGCUUUCAGCCAUGACGCGGUAGUGGAAGAAAAAGCACCGGCUAACUACGUGCCAGCAGCCGCGGUAAUAC